UAGCCGUAAACGAUACUCGCUAGGUGUCGGCCACGGUGCGACCGUUGUCGGUGCCGUAGGGAAGCCGUGAAGCGAGCCACCUGGGAAGUACGGCCGCAAGGCUGAAACUUAAAGGAAUUGGCGGGGGAGCACCACAACGGGUGGAGCUUGCGGUUUAAUUGGAUUCAACGCCGGGAAGCUCACCGGAUAAGACAGCGGAAUGAUUGCCGGGCUGAAGACCCUGCAUGACCAGCUGAGAGGAGGUGCAUGGCGUAGUCGUGU
rnacentral:rRNA from 1 species